GGAUCCAGACUUUGAUUCUGGCUCAGGAUGAACGCUAGCUACAGGCUUAACACAUGCAAGUCGAGGGGCAGCAUGGUCUUAGCUUGCUAAGGCCGAUGGCGACCGGCGCACGGGUGAGUAACACGUAUCCAACCUGCCGUCUACUCUUGGACAGCCUUCUGAAAGGAAGAUUAAUACAAGAUGGCAUCAUGAGUCCACAUGUUCACAUGAUUAAAGGUAUUCCGGUAGACGAUGGGGAUGCGUUCCAUUAGAUAGUAGGCGGGGUAACGGCCCACCUAGUCUUCGAUGGAUAGGGGUUCUGAGAGGAAGGUCCCCCACAUUGGAACUGAGACACGGUCCAAACUCCUACGGGAGGCAGCAGUGAGGAAUAUUGGUCAAUGGGCGAGAGCCUGAACCAGCCAAGUAGCGUGAAGGAUGACUGCCCUAUGGGUUGUAAACUUCUUUUAUAAAGGAAUAAAGUCGGGUAUGCAUACCCGUUUGCAUGUACUUUAUGAAUAAGGAUCGGCUAACUCCGUGCCAGCAGCCGCGGUAAUACGGAGGAUCCGAGCGUUAUCCGGAUUUAUUGGGUUUAAAGGGAGCGUAGAUGGAUGUUUAAGUCAGUUGUGAAAGUUUGCGGCUCAACCGUAAAAUUGCAGUUGAUACUGGAUAUCUUGAGUGCAGUUGAGGCAGGCGGAAUUCGUGGUGUAGCGGUGAAAUGCUUAGAUAUCACGAAGAACUCCGAUUGCGAAGGCAGCCUGCUAAGCUGCAACUGACAUUGAGGCUCGAAAGUGUGGGUAUCAAACAGGAUUAGAUACCCUGGUAGUCCACACGGUAAACGAUGAAUACUCGCUGUUUGCGAUAUACAGCAAGCGGCCAAGCGAAAGCGUUAAGUAUUCCACCUGGGGAGUACGCCGGCAACGGUGCAACUCAAAGGAAUUGACGG
rnacentral:rRNA from 1 species